rnacentral:lncRNA from 1 species
AGGCCGCGGCUUCGCGUCCCGCCUCUCGCCUGGCUGGCCGUGGGGGGCCUGGACGCAGUGGCCUCCCGAAUCUCCCAGGACCCUAAUAUCGCCCGAGGAUGCUGGGAGGAACGCUGAGCCGACCUCUCCGUUAGGCUGAAGAUUGCACAAACCAUGCUAAUGGCCAGCAUGGAUGGAGGGAGCGUGUGAGAUGUGUGGGGCAGCGUGCUGCAUCUCAGCCAACUCCAGGAGCCAGUUGAUGUGAUGGACUACCUUAAUUGAUUUUUGAAUGUUGAGCCAGCCUUAUGCAUGUGGGAUAAACCCCUGUUGAUCAUGGAAGCAUGCUCAUGGCAAUACCCGGAGUCUCCACUGCAAGACCAGAG